AACGAACGCUGGCGGCAUGCCUAACACAUGCAAGUCGAACGAGACCUUCGGGUCUAGUGGCGCACGGGUGCGUAACGCGUGGGAACCUGCCCUUAGGUUCGGAAUAACACCCCGAAAGGGGUGCUAAUAACGGAUAAUGUCUUCGGACCAAAGAUUUAUCGCCUUUGGAUGGGCCCGCGUUGUAUUAGCUAGGUGGUAGGGUAUAAGCCUACCAAGGCGACGAUCCAUAGCUGGUCUGUGAGGAUGCUCAGCCACACUGGGACGGAGACCCGGCCCCGACUCCUACGAGAGGCAGCAGUGGGGAAUAUUGGACAAUGGGCGUGAGCCUGAUCCACCAAUGCCGCGUGAGUGAUGUAGGCCUUAGGGUUGUAAAGCGCUUUUAACCGAGAUGAUAAUGACAGUACCGGGAGAAUAAGCUCCGGCUAACUCCGUG
rnacentral:rRNA from 1 species